rnacentral:lncRNA from 1 species
UUCCAAUAAACUUCAAAAAAGAAAUAUAUUUCGUGUACUACACAUAUUAAUAAAGUUAUGUUUCAAGAUGUGAACUAGCAACAAACUAUAAAAAACCAAAUGUAUUCAUAUAGAUGAAUAAUAAAUAUCACAAUUGUUCCAAAAGUCUUCAUCAUUCACUUCAAUAGAUUAAAUUGGACUUGUGGCCACAUUUCCAAUUGGAUCACCUGCAUUUUCCCACAUUUAUGAUGAAAUUAGAAAUUACAAAGAAACAAAUAUAUAGUAUACACUGGUUAAAGCAACAUUCGUCUUACUAAGAACUAACAAAAAUCUGACAUAAACUAUAAUGUAAAAAGUACAACAACCUUUUUUUGGUCAAGAUAUUUCAUUACAGCAACAAGUAGGUGCUGGAUUACAAGUAACUUUGAUUACAAGCUCCUUUAACUAUGUAUGAAGUUAAUGCAGUCAACAACAUUACUAACACUUCAACAUCUUCAAUUGAAAUUAACAAACAAAUUGUGAGAAAAGUGAGAAAGAAUCACCCUAGACGAGUAACGAGUAUAAAUUCAGUUAAACUCUUUCAGAAAUCCAAAGUAAAAACUAGGCGAUAAAGAGGGUGCAUUAUUUAGGUGUUGUCACUCUUAUGGUUCAGACAUAUUUUACCCAAAUUGAAUCUAUUAUGUUGGAAGAAAGUAAUAUUUAUAUUUGUCAAAUCUAUAGUAAAAGUUGGAAAUAAGAAAGACUCAGCCUAAUGCUAGAGCAUCCCUUGCUUUAUCUAUAAAAGAAAUUUAUUAUCAAUGUAAUAAUCACCAACAAAAUAUCUUCAAAAGAGCUCACAACAUAGUAAGAGAUGCUCAUCACAUUUUGCAAGUGCGGAGACAAAAAAUUGCGAAUAUCUUCAUAGGCCAAAAUGUAAUGCCAUGAAGAAGACAUGUUCUUUGGGCAAGGCAACCUUAGACUAAGGAAAAUCGAGAAAUAAGUACACUUUAAAUUGUUUCAAUAUUGCAAAAUCAAAUAUUUUAGAAAAGCAUGUUUAGUAAGUUAAAUACCUUUUCAAGACUCGUAGCAUGAGUUCAGCCAGAAGAAUAUGGAUGAUUUUGGCCUCUCACAACCGUGCUACUUGCAUCAACAGAUAAAGGAAGGUUGGAUCCAACACACCUUAGUAUAUCUUGAGUAUUCAGUCCAGGGUUGUUUACUACCAAUUGACUAAAAAUAGUAUCACAUUUUUUCUCUCGUCAAGUGACUAAAAGUAAAGUGAAAUACAUGCUCAUAAUCAAUCACAUAGUAUAACGAAUAAGAAAGAUGGACUUGUAUGAAUUAUAAAAGCCAAUUGGCUGAUAACACAACUACAUAAGACCUGAAAAGUUUCUGCUUAACCAAAAUUUUAUUUUGGAGCUCCAAGUACACUGUUCAAGCAACUCAAAGUUCAGCACAUCAAUGGAUUAAUGGACAAAUUUCACCCUAUUUACAAACUACUGGAGUUCUAAACUACCAUAUAAUUGCAGUUGAAUUUUUCCUUAAGUGGAACAGAUGCAAAAUUCAAUUUCUAAAUUAAAUGCUGCACUUUUUGUCAAACUGCAACUUUAUACCAAGAGUUCAUUCCGAAGAAAAUGAGAUUUGAAAGUUCUAAUGUUCGCAUCGCAAUAGUAGCCAGGAAAUACAAGAGCAAAUUGAGCUUGUAAACGUAUUUCCUAUGUUUAAAGUAGUUAUCUGAAAUUAUUUGUCUAAGUGGCACUAGUUUCUGCUAGCUGAAACGUGCAAACUUUGGGAUUACACAGAUCAUGUAUACUCCAAAUCAGAAUUCAUAAUAUAUAUAAAAUUUACCAAAUUACUCGAACACAACGCUAACUCCUAUCCAAUGUCCUUUUUAUUCACAUGAACAAAUGUUAAUCUUCUCGCAACAAAUCUUAAGCUGCCUACUGAUAGAUACAUAUGUUUUACAGAACAAUCACAAAAGAACAAGAUAUUACACAAUAUGAAAAUGGAACAGGUUCUAAGCUUGAAUGUAGCCACCAUACCAGUAAACUCUCGAAUAUUUUUUCCAACCAAUAAUAGUUGACAUGGAGAGCUUAAAAUCAAUCAAAUCGCACAUAACUGAAGGAAAUCAGAGCAACAAAAAAAGCUAUACCAUUGACCAUGUCAAUUUGCAAUGAAAAAAAAGGUAUCUACACAUACCAAAAUUGAAGAACAUCUAAAGAAUCUAAGAAGACAAGAUCUUAUCUUGCAACAUGACUUACUAUUGCAACUUGGGUAUCCGUACAUUUAAAAAUUUGACAUGAAAAGGAACAGAAAGCGCAAUAAUUACUAAAAGAGGGAACAUCAAAAAAAUCAUUCAUGAUACUGCUAAAAAGAAUCUACUUAAAACCUUUCUAUUCGAAGAAACAAGAAAAAUAUGAAAUUUAGGAGUACCAAAGAAUGAAAACGACACAGGUGAGAAGGUGAAGAACAAGAAAAAUAUGAAAUUUGUGAGUACCCUGAAGCCAUAUAUACUUGUAUUCAAAGAAGAAAGCACCUAUGGCGAGCAGCUAGGAUUGUUGCUACUAAAAUUAGGCUCAUAAAUCAGCUAGGGUUGUUGUUACUAAAAUUAGGCUCACAAAUCAGCUAGGGUUUUAAAAUAAUUUACUAAUGUUUGGGACUAGCAAAGCAAUAAAUAAUUUAUGC